GGCGAACGCUGGCGGCGUGCUUAACACAUGCAAGUCGAACGGUGAAGCGCCUUCCUUUUUGGUGGGUGUGGAUGAGUGGCUAACGGGUGAGUAACACGUGAGUAACCUGCCCCCUUCUUCUGGAUAACCGCAUGAAAGUGUGGCUAAUACGGGUUAUUCUGGGUCUGUCGCAUGUUGGGUCUGCGAAAUAUCUUGUUUCGGUGGGGGAUGGGCUCGCGGCCUAUCAGCUUGUUGGUGGGGUGAUGGCCUACCAAGGCGGUGACGGGUAGCCGGCCUGAGAGGGUGGACGGUCACACUGGGACUGAGACACGGCGCAGACUCCUACGGGAGGCAGCAGUGGAGAAUAUUGCACAAGGGGAGCAAGGCUGAUGCAGCGACGCCGCGUGAGGGAUGGAGGCCUUAGGGUUGUGAACCUCUUUCGCCAGUGAAGCAGGCCUGCCUCGUUUGUGGGUGGGUUGACGGUAGCUGGAUAAGAAGCGCCGGCUAACUACGUG
rnacentral:rRNA from 1 species